rnacentral:rRNA from 1 species
UACGUUCCCGGGCCUUGUACACACCGCCCGUCACGCCAUGGAAGCCGGAGGGACCCGAAACCGGUGGGCCAACCGCAAGGGGGCAGCCGUCUAAGGUCAAUUCGGUGACUGGGGCGAAGUCGUAACAAGGUACCC